CCAGGCUCAAGGCUCUGUCACGCUGAGGGAGGGAGCACCUAGCCAAGGCUGUCAUGCCUCCUACCCCCCACACUGGCUACUAUCCACCCCAACCCCCACCUCAGCUCAAGGCUCCAGGCUCUCCCUGACAGGAAGCUUCUGCUCCUGGUUCUUGCUGCUGGCCACUUCCCUUCCUCCCUCUGACUUCCCAGCAGCUGCUGAGAUUUGCAGACCGCUCGCUGACCUGGUGCCCAGCUUGGACUGGACAAGGACUCACUUCGGAAAAGUCUGUACCCUCGACGAAUUACAGCAAGGGAGUGACUUUCUGGAUCCCUGGCAAUGCAAGUAGUACUCCACCCUAGAGACCUUCUCAUCUUCUACCUGCCUUCUCCAAAACUGCUGGGACAAAGGAGCAUGUCCAUGGUAUAUCUGGAGGCCAGAAGAUAACUGCCGGAGUUGCUUUUCUCCCUCCAAGCCCUUUUACCCAGGGAGCCAACUUUGCUAGCCCCCUAUAGUACAUAAAUUCUUAGUUUAAUGCCCAAUGCAAAAUUUACAUAAAGGCUCCAUUGGGCCAUAUUCAUACCAUAUAAUUUCACCAUUUCUGGUGUGCCAAAUGUGACAACCUUUUUUAGGAAAUGUAUUAGCUGAGCAGUGGAGGAAGGCAGAUCUCUGAGUUCAAGGUCAGCCUUGUCUACAGAGUGAGUUCCAGAACAUCCAGGGCUACACAGAGAAAC
ensembl:lncRNA